rnacentral:rRNA from 1 species
AAAACUUUCAACAACGGAUCUCUUGGCUCUGGCAUCGAUGAAGAACGCAGCGAAAUGCGAUAAGUAAUGUGAAUUGCAGAAUUCAGUGAAUCAUCGAAUCUUUGAACGCACAUUGCGCCCGCCAGCAUUCUGGCAGGGCAUGCCUGUUCGAGCGUCAUUUCAACCCUCGACCUCCCCUCGGGGAAGUCGGCGUUGGGG